rnacentral:rRNA from 1 species
CACGGGGGGAGCAAGCGUUGUUCGGAAUCACUGGGCGUAAAGGGCGUGUAGGCGGUCAGGUAAGUGAGAUGUGAAAUGCCCCGGCUCACCCGGGGACCGGCAUCUCAUACUGCUUGGCUUGAGUACGGGAGAGGAUGUGGGAAUUCCUGGUGUAGCGGUGAAAUGCGUAGAUAUCAGGAAGAACACCCGUGGCUAAGGCGGUUCUCUAGUACGGUACUGACGCUGAGACGCGAAAGCGUGGGGAGCGAACAGG